AAUGGAAAUACUGGAGAGUGGGAAGAUGCCUUUUACAGCAUCACCGAGGUCCUUACAAUGCAGAAAUGUCUCUGCUGCUUGGCCUGAUUACUAGCAUGUGCUGGGGAGAAUAACACUGUUUUGUGGGCUCUUCCCUCCUCACUACUGAGGCCUGGGGUGGUUUUUUAAAUGCAAUGCUGUACAGAGAUUAAUAAUGAGGAGGGGAAAAUUCAUUUAGACGUUUGACAACAUCUCUGUGACACUCAGUAUUCGUCUCAUAUGGAGUAGAUUUGCGCUGCAGAGAAAUGCUGGCAACACUUUAUUCUUAAACAUACGAUUAACCAGCUGCCAGAGACAACAGAACAUUUAAAACUCCUAUUCCAAUCGCCAAGUUACCGUCUAUAGGUCUCAGAGCUACUAAAAUGUAUUUAAAAGUGAGCCACAAGACAACGUGUGUUUCCUUAUGUGUAAGACACAGGGCGUGGAUCAGAUGAGAGCCUUGAUGAUCCCUUUCUGAACUACAGCUUCACCGUGUAACCGUGUCAGGCAAAUAAAGUAACGGAGAAAAGCAAGCUGUUGACUAAGGGAAGUGAAUAAGAAACAAAAUACAUCAAUGGGCUCAGGGAGACCCUUGAGGAAUAAGAAGUCUCAUAUCUGGAUGAGGAAGUUUUUCUCUGCACAGACCACUGUUUGUGAUUUGGAAAAGAAAUCUCUCUAUAUAUGUAUUAUAGCAUAUAUCAUUUCAGCCACUUUGUGCCAGCAUGCAUUAGAGGUGGUGAGAGAGAUAAAACCUUAAGGAAGAAAGAAGCUUUGUGGAUUACUGUUCUGAUAGCCUUUCUCCCAGAGGUCUUAAUGAGUGACUAGGCCUCAAAUGAUAGAAAUUAUCCCAUUCUUCUUUGUGACCUUCCAACAUUGCCCAUGAAAAAACCCCAAAACCAAACAACUACAUUUCUUGGAAAAGGCUUUCAUUUCUAUGUUGUCCUUGUGAAGGAAGAUAAGAUUAACACUUCCUCCUCAUUCCUUUCUUUCUGAAUGUAAAUCUUUUUGGAGUAGCUUUUAGUUGAAAUAAUUAAGUAAUGUUAGAAAUUGUCAGAUAAACAACAUGCUACGAGUAAAAUAUUUAUUUUAGGAAUUUAUCUUACGAAUAUAUAUGUGUAUAAAGACACAUGUUGAAGCAUAUUCAUUACAGUAUUUUUUUCAAGUUCACUACAGCAAAAGUCUAAAGAAUAACCUAUGGCCCAUCCAUAGAGCAUAUUUUUUUUUUAUUGAUAGUGCAGCCAUACAAAUACUACUAUGCAACUGGUUAAAAAGAGUGAGUUGGUUCCAUAUGUAUAGACAUGGGCUAACCUCCAAGACAUAUUAAGGGCAAAAUGCAAGGUGUAGAAUAAUGUGUACAGCAUGCUAUCAUAUUUGUGUAAAUAAAAAGAAAAUAUACAUCUAUGCAUAUGAUUCAUUCUCGAAGAAUGAACAAGAAGCACCUAACAGGCAGUUACCUCUAGGAAUGGGAGCCCAGUGAUGGGAGGUGGGAGACCAAGAUUUUACUGUGUAUAUUUUUGUACUGUUUGAAUUUUUUCUAUUACCAUGUAAUGUGUCACAUUUUCAAAAUAAUUUUAAAAAGUAAACUAAUAAAAUUU
rnacentral:lncRNA from 1 species